AACGAACGCUGGCGGCAGGCCUAACACAUGCAAGUCGAGCGAGCAUUUCGGUGCUAGCGGCGGACGGGUGAGUAACGCGUGGGAACGUGCCCUUUUCUGCGGAAUAGUCCUGGGAAACUGGGGGUAAUACCGCAUACGCCCUUUUGGGGAAAGAUUUAUCGGAGAAGGAUCGGCCCGCGUUGGAUUAGGUAGUUGGUGGGGUAAUGGCCCACCAAGCCGACGAUCCAUAGCUGGUUUGAGAGGAUGAUCAGCCACACUGGGACUGAGACACGGCCCAGACUCCGACGGGAGGCAGCAGUGGGGAAUCUUAGACAAUGGGGGCAAGCCUGAGCUAGCCAUGCCGCGUGAGUGAUGAAGGCCUGAGGGUUGUAAAGCUCUUUCAGCUGGGAAGAUAAUGACGGUACCAGCAGAAGAAGCCCCGGCUAACUCCGU
rnacentral:rRNA from 1 species